GAAUCAUGGCCAUAAACUCAGGUGUAUGAAAAGCAUGACUUUAUUCUCCAUAACUCAGCUUGCUUUCUGACUUUGAGCCUUUUUACCCCCAACUCGGCUGGUGGAAAAACAGUCUCGCACCUUUCUGAAUUUUCAGGUGCUAAGAUGUUGAGUGGUGGGGCUGGAGGGCUGGGGUUAGGGGAUAAUGGGAGGGAAGGCAGAUUGGGAUGGUCCUCUGGGCCCUGGUCCACACGGGUUACUGCUAGGAUGUGUUCUUUUCCUCCAUAUGUUCCCUUUGGGUCCUCCAGCUUCCUGCUGCCUUUCUAGCCUGCCCAGGAUGCAGGAGCCUUUGAUGAGGCUCCUUUAAUUCUUUCUACUUAGACAUAGCCAUUUUCUCUCUAGGGCUUUCUUUCCUAAAUAGUGACCAUGUUGCAAAGCCAGGCAUGAUCCUUUCUGCUCCUAGAACCCACAGCCUCUCCUUUUUUCUUUUUACCCCCACCCAUGGAAAACUCUUUCCAGUCUGGGGAUGACACAGCUUCUUUUUCUUUAAUCUCCUCCACAAUGCCCCACCUCUUGGAUUCCCUAAGGGUGUAAGCUUUUGGAACAAGGAGCAAAAAAACACUUUCAAGCUUUAUCUGUGUUCUCCCUUGCUACAUUCCUUCCCCAAGGCAAUGAGGCCAAGAGCCUUCUCUAAGGAAGGGAGAGGAGCCCUAGAGAGAGAAAAAGAAAGAAAUCCACAUUUCAAAGUAUUAUUUGGCCAUGAUAUGGUUUGGCUGUGUCCCCACUCAAAUCUCAACUUGAAUUCUCCCAGAAUUCCAAUGUGUUGUGGGAGGGACUGAGAAGGAGGUAACGGAAUCAUGGGGGCUGGUCUUUCCUAUGCUAUUAUCAUGAUAGUCUAUAAGUCUCAAGAGAUCUGAUGGGUUUAUUGGGGGUCUCCACUUUUCCUUCCUCCUCAUUUUUUCUCUUGCCACUGCCAUGUAAGAAGUGCCUUUCACCUCCCACCAUGAUUCUGAGGCCUCCCCACUCAUGUGGAACUGUAAGUCCAAUUAAACCUCUUUUUCUUCCCAGUUUCAUGUAUGUUUUUAUCAGCAGCAUGAAAACAGACUAAUACAGUAAAUUGGUACCAGUAGAGUGGGGCACUGCUGAAACGAUACCCAAAAAUGUGGAAGAAACUUUGGAACUGGGUAACAGGCAGAGGCUGGAACAGUUUGGAGGGCUCAGAAGAAGCCAGGAAAAUGUGGGAAAGUUUGGACUUCCUAGAGACUUGUUGAAUGGCUUUGACAAAAAAUCGAUAAUGAUAUGGACAAUGAAAUCCAGGCUGAAGUUGUCUCAGAUGGAGAUGAGGAACUUGUUGGGAACUGGAGCAAAGGCGACUCUUGUUAUGUUUUAGCAAAGAGACUGGCAGCAUUUUGCUCCUGCCUUAGAGAUUUGUGGAAAUUUGAACUUGAGAGAGAUGAUUUAGAGCAUCUGGCAGAAGAAAUUUCUAAGCAGCAAAGCAUUCAAAAGUUGACUUGGGUGCUGUUAAAAGCAUUCUGUUUUAAAAGGGAAAAAAAGAACAUGAGGGUUUCAAAAAUUUGCAGCCUAUGAUGCAGUAGAAAAGAAAAGCCCAUUUUUUGAGGAGAAAUUCAAGCCAGCUGCAGAAAUUUGCAUAACUAGCAAGGAUCCUAAUGUUAAUCCCCAAGACCAUGGGGAAAAUGUCUCCAGGCCAUUUCAGGGACCUUCAUGGCAGCCCCUCCCAUCACAGGCCUGGAGGCCUAGGAGGAAAAAGUGGUUUUGUGGGCCAGGCCCAGGGUCCCCAUGCUAUGUUCAGCCUAGGGACUUGGUGCUCUGUGUCCCAUCUGCUCCAGCCUUGGCUGAAAAGGGCCAACACAGAGCUCGAGCUGUGGCUUCAGAGGGUGGAAGCUUCAAGCCUUGGCAGCUUCCACUUGGUGUUGAGCCUGCGGGUGCACAGAAGUCAAGAAUUGAGGUUUGGGAACCUCCACUUAGAUUUCAGAAGAUGUAUGGAAAUACUUGGAUGUCCAGGCAAAAGUUUGCUGCAGGGCGGGGCCCUCAUGGAGAACCUCUUCUAGGGCAGUGUGGAAGGGAAAUGUGGGGUCAGAGCCCCCACACAGAGUCCCUACUGGGGCACUGCCUAGUGGAGCUGAGAGAAGAGGGUCACUGUCCUCCAGACCCCAGAAUGGUAGAUCCACCAACAGCUUGUACUGUGCACCUGGAAAAGCUGCAGACAUUCAAUGCAAGCCUGUGAAAGCAGCCAGGAGGGAGGCUCUACCCUGCAAAGCCACAGGGGUACAGCUGCUCAAGACCAUGGGAACCCAUCUCUUGUGGGUGACCUGGAUGUGAGACCUGGAGUCAAAGGAGAUCAUUUAGGAUCUUUAAAAUUUGACUGCCCUGCUGGGUUUCAGACUUAUAUGGGGCCUGCUACCCCUUUGGUUUGGCCAAUUUCUCCCAUUUGGCAUGACUGUAUGUACACAAUACCUGUACUCCCAUUGUAUCUAGGAAGUAACUAGCUUGCUUUUGAUUUUACAGGCUCAUAGGAGGAAGGGAUUUGCCUUGUUUCAAAUGAGACUUUGUACUGUGCACUUUGGGUUAAUGCUGAAAUGAGUUAAGACUUUGGGGGACUGUUGGGAAGGCAUGAUUGGUUUUGAAAUGUGAGCACAUGAGAUUUGGAGGGGCCAGGGGCGGAAUGAUAUGGUUUGGCUAUGUUCCCACCCAAAUCUCAACUUGAAUUGUAUCUCCCAGAAUUCCCACAGGUUAUGGGAGGAUCCAGGGGGAGGUAAUUGAAUCAUGGGGGCCAGUCUUUCCCGUGCUAUUCUCAUGAUAGUGAAUAAGUGUCACAAGAUCUGAUGGGUUUAUCAGGGGUUUCCACUUUUGCUUUUUCCUCAUCUUCCUCUUGCUGCUGCCAUGUAAGAAGUGCCUUUCACCUCCCGCCAUGAUUCUGAGGCCUCCCCAGCCAUGUGGAAAUUUCUUAUCUCCCCUAGUAAAAUUUCAGCUUCCAGAUAGCCGGAGUUAUUUCUCAACAGAGUGAAGUCAGAAGGUGUGUUUCCCAGACAAUCUCCAGGGUUUCUCCAAGAAGCUUUCAAGAAAGCCCUGUGGCUACCCUGUGGGUUGGCCACACUGGUCCCUGCUGCUAAGUGGUAAGACUUCCCUUCCCAGCCGAUGCCAACCAUCACAUAUGUGGUCACCUUUGGAGACAUUGGAUACCUCUCAACACAGUUCAGCUGAGAGGAAACUGAAGGAAUGAGACAUAGGACAGAUAAGUUUCAAUGGAAGAAGAUGAAGAUAAGGAAAAGAAAAGGCCAUAGCCUCCCAUGGGUGACUGGGAUGAGAAAUAAAAUAUGAAAGUG
rnacentral:lncRNA from 1 species